ACUGAGGACUACUCUGUUUUGCAGUAGUUAUCACACCCAUUUGUUGCCACCUUUUUGCAGAGCUUUCGUCUGUUACUGCUAUUGCUGAUUCUGAUCGAGGUAAGAGAGUCACGAGCUAGAUCCCUAUCUACCCGGUCACCAUACUAGAGGAGCCCUAUUAGAGGUAGUUUUGGUUGUGCCAUGUACAUACAGUGGGUGUUUGGUUUUCGAUCUGAGAGAUGAUAGUAUUUUGGAGCAUGUAUGUACAGUGGGACCUUAUAUUUUAUAUAUAUAUGUUUUAGUUUUAGUAGCUCGAUAUUUUUAUUGUAGCUCCUAUCUGUUUGCAGGUACAGCUAUCGCUUCGUAUAUACGAAAAAUUUCUAUGUGUAUGGCGGAUCUGUUGGUGAGUCCGGAAAACGUAGUAAUCCGGGGCAGGACAAUGAGGAACGAAGGCG
rnacentral:lncRNA from 1 species